GUUUGAUCCUGGCUCAGGAUGAACGCUAGCUACAGGCUUAACACAUGCAAGUCGAGGGGCAGCAUGAAAGUUUGUUUGCAAACUUUUGAUGGCGACCGGCGCACGGGUGAGUAACACGUAUCCAACCCGCCUCAUACUCGGGGAUAGCCUUUCGAAAGAAAGAUUAAUACCCGAUGUCAUAGUCCUACCGCAUGAUGGGACUAUUAAAGAAUUUCGGUAUGGGAUGGGGAUGCGUUCCAUUAGUUAGUUGGCGGGGUAACGGCCCACCAAGACAACGAUGGAUAGGGGUUCUGAGAGGAAGGUCCCCCACAUUGGAACUGAGACACGGUCCAAACUCCUACGGGAGGCAGCAGUGAGGAAUAUUGGUCAAUGGACGAGAGUCUGAACCAGCCAAGUAGCGUGAAGGAUGACUGCCCUAUGGGUUUAAACUUCUUUUAUAUGGGAAUAAAACGUUCACGUGUGGGAUUUUGUAUGUACCAUAUGAAUAAGGAUCGGCUAACUCCGUGCCAGCAGCCGCGGUAAUACGGAGGAUCCGAGCGUUAUCCGGAUUUAUUGGGUUUAAAGGGAGCGUAGGUGGAUUGUUAAGUCAGUUGUGAAAGUUUGCGGCUCAACCGUAAAAUUGCAGUUGAAACUGGCAGUCUUGAGUACAGUAGAGGUGGGCGGAAUUCGUGGUGUAGCGGUGAAAUGCUUAGAUAUCACGAAGAACUCCGAUUGCGAAGGCAGCUCACUGGACUGCAACUGACACUGAGGCUCGAAAGUGUGGGUAUCAAACAGGAUUAGAUACCCUGGUAGUCCACACAGUAAACGAUGAAUACUCGCUGUUUGCGAUAUACAGUAAGCGGCCAAGCGAAAGCAUUAAGUAUUCCACCUGGGGAGUACGCCGGCAACGGUGAAACUCAAAGGAAUUGACGGGGGCCCGCACAAGCGGAGGAACAUGUGGUUUAAUUCGAUGAUACGCGAGGAACCUUACCCGGGCUUAAAUUGCACCUGAAUAAUGUGGAAACAUGUUAGCCGUAAGGCAGGUGUGAAGGUGCUGCAUGGUUGUCGUCAGCUCGUGCCGUGAGGUGUCGGCUUAAGUGCCAUAACGAGCGCAACCCUUAUCUUCAGUUACUAACAGGUCAUGCUGAGGACUCUGGAGAGACUGCCGUCGUAAGAUGUGAGGAAGGUGGGGAUGACGUCAAAUCAGCACGGCCCUUACGUCCGGGGCUACACACGUGUUACAAUGGGAGGUACAGAAGGCCGCUACCUGGCGACAGGAUGCCAAUCCCCAAAACCUCUCUCAGUUCGGAUCGAAGUCUGCAACCCGACUUCGUGAAGCUGGAUUCGCUAGUAAUCGCGCAUCAGCCAUGGCGCGGUGAAUACGUUCCCGGGCCUUGUACACACCGCCCGUCAAGCCAUGAAAGCCGGGGGUACCUGAAGUACGUAACCGCAAGGAUCGUCCUAGGGUAAAACUGGUAAUUGGGGCUAAGUCGUAACAAGGUAGCCGUACCGGAAGGUGCGGCUGGAACACCUCCUUUCU
rnacentral:rRNA from 1 species